CUUUUCUCCUUUCAGCAGUGAUGGGUCCGACCAAAUUCCCAGAUCCAAAUAACACAAGACUCCUGCGUAAGAUUCAAGACAUGCCACACGCAAUGGUUCGUCUUGUAUAAAUGUCAGAUUCCGAGUUCUGUUAUCUGCAUGGCACUUGCAGUUGCUGUUUGAAGACAGCAUCUUCCACUGACACCAACAAUUGUGAAAGACGAGCAUAUCUGUACUUGCAGGUCUGAACGAGGAACCCAGGAAAGUGGUAAGGUCACAAUGAAGGGAAGGCAGGAGAAUAAAACCCUAAGCAUUAGCUGCAUGCCAUCGCCUCCAGGUGGCUGAGCACAACUCUGAGCCAGAGCCGAAAGCAAAGUGGUACUUGCUAUUCCAGCGUUGGUUAAGAGGGUAGGACUGAAAAUGGAAGAAAUAGGAGCUAGCAAGGAAAGUCACUGCCCAACUCCCUGCCGGGGCAGUGCAGUAACACCCAACAUCCCACCUCGUUGCAGCAGCAGUCAUAAGGUGCCAAAGAAAUCAGUGCACUCUACAAGUUUUAUGCCUUCUAGCAGUUCUAUUCGCUUCAGACAAUUGGAUCAGCAUUGUACAGCUGCUAUUCCUGCAGUUUUUCAUCAUUUGUCUGAGUUUCUACCAGGGAUAAAACAAGAGAGGGCAAUUCAUCUCUUAGCCAAAGGAAAAGAGCUGGCAUUUCUCUCCCGAUGAAGCAACACAAGGUGUGAUAAAAAGUCUGUGUGAUUUGAAUAGAGGUGUAAUUCACUGGGGAAAUUCAUAAGUAGCAUACAGCAUCUCCCUUGGACCAAUCACAUUUACAGUAAUCAUUUGCAUAUUAUGAUCAAUCAUUACACAAAAAAGGCAGCUCUGCAUCAAAAACAAUGUAACCCAUAAGGCAGAAAAAUCUUAUUGAAGGAUAUCUGAGUCACAGAGCUACAGCAUCCUGAUGUAUUGAUGAUACAAAACCAGUCAAGACUCAUCACUGAUACUACAAUUUCAGUAGACACAUGAUUCAGCUACACAACUAAAAUGUAGAACUUAUUACAUUUUCUUGCCC
rnacentral:lncRNA from 1 species